rnacentral:lncRNA from 1 species
CCGCGGCCGCGAAGGCCGGGCGGCAAGAGGGCCUGAGGAAGGCAGCUGGCGGCGGACAGUUUCCCGAAGGCACACGGGGUCGCGAGACGGCUUCACCGGAAACGCCCGGACUGUAUCGUGUUACAUCGGGUGCCGGGCGGCGGCAAGAGGGCCUGAGGAAGGCAGCUGGCGGCGGACAGUUUCCCGAAGGCACACGGGGUCGCGAGACGGCUUCACCGGAAACGCCCGGACUGUAUCGUGUUACAUCGGGUGUCCGCGGGCGGAAAGACGAGCUUGGGAGGCGGCGGAGGAGGGGCUCACCGAUUCAGGGAGCCGAAGGUCUUGGGGGCGUCCCCCCGAGCGGCGGGGCCAGCCUGCGCGCCGGGCGGAGGGCGCAGGGCGCAGGGCGCAGGGCGGAGGGCGGAGGGCGGAGGGCGGAGGGCGGAGGGGGGCGCAGGGCCGGCGGUGGGGAGGGGCGGGGAGGCGUGUCUGGGGGCGGGGCGGCCGCAUGGAUUCUCUCCGCCUCCGGCACCUGCGUCUCUGGGUGCUUCUGGGGAGGAACCGUGUCCUGGGCUGCGUCCCUCGAGCUCCCCGUGCCUGGGACAUGGUUUCCCUACAGCUCUUCCUCACCUGGCAGAUACUCUGCACCCUGCUUGGCUGUCACUUCUUGCAGAAAGCCUGCCUUAAGGGCCCUGCCGCCCCCGCCCCCAGUCUCGGUAGCGGCCUUCCUACGUAUUUCAUCCCACCCGGUAAUUCAUUUCGAGGGCACCGUUCACCACCCUUUCUGGCAAUCCUUUGUCCCUGCCGCGGAAAUCGGAGAUCAUCGAGUGCGAUGACCCUCAUCAGUGCUUCUCUCUGUAUCCCAGCACCGGUCCGGCGCCCCGCGGGUAGGAGAUGCUCCGCAAAGGUUUGCUCGCUGAAUUAAAGAUGCGCAAGAGGGACUGAAUCAGAGAAGAAGUUAGGAGGCUGCUGGCCCGAUGCGGGGGUGAAGAAGGGAAGAUCUGGCCAGGGGCGGCAGGACACCAGAGAGGAGAGGCGACUGCCGGGGAUGCUCUGGGCGGGCAUCAAGGCCCGUCGAUGCGUUAAGGCCUCUGGCCAAGUUGGGGUAAAGGUUCCCCCUGUGGCGAAGACCGCCGGCUGCCCGCUCAGCCUUUCCCGUCCGCCCUCCUAAGAGAGGUUCCGUGUAGCGGGGGAGUUGAUGUUGCUUUCAUCUGGUCUCAGAAGAGCUAGGCGGUAUCGUGGGUGUAAGACUGAAGCCCCGUCGGUCGUUUCACUCUGCAGCACGGGAAGCCUGAUGGCAGGUGCUGCCCGAGCCCUCCGGAUGCCAGCCCCUGGGCUGAGGGCUCUCCGUGUAUUAGCGCAGUUAAUUCCCUCGAGGGCCGAGGGCCGGUGAGAAAGGGGAUCAUGAUAACAGCUCUCCGCUUCGGGGACUUGUGAAGCUACCCGUGGAAACGACAGGCAUAUGGGAAUCUCGUGAUAAGUGCGCUCUAGGAAAAGUCCCCGCCCGUCGGUCACAUGGAGAGAACAUCCGUUUUACGGUGUUGUGAAGAGUCUUCCCCUGCCCACCCCGGGCAUCCCUGCUUCCCGUCCCACUUUCCCUGGCUUUAUUUUCCUGCCAGCUGCCGAGUCGUUCCGGACGCCCGCGAGCAUCCCACGGCACAGAGAGGACUACAGACACGGCCGUGUGGGCACACAGGCGCACAGUUAGAUUCGCAACUGUACCGACGGUGUUGGCCUAUCUGCUUCUC